GGUCUAGUUAGUUAGGUCAGCUGUUAGUGUGGCAGGGUCUAGUUAGUUAGGUCAGCUGUUAGUGUGGCAGGGUCUAGUUAGUUAGGUCAGCUGUUAGUGUGGCAGGGUCUAGUUAGUUAGGUCAGCUGUUAGUGUGGCAGGGUCUAGUUAGUUAGGUCAGCUGUUAGUGUGGAGCAGGUCUAGUUAGUUAGGUCAGCUGUUAGCGUGGCAGGGUCUAGUUAGUUAGUUUAGCUGUUAGUGUGGAGCAGGUCUAGUUAGUUAGGUCAGCUGGUAUGCUGUGAGGGGUUGCUAGAUGACUAACCGAUUGACUCCUCGAAGGCGAAGAG